rnacentral:rRNA from 1 species
AUUGAACGCUGGCGGCAGGCCUAACACAUGCAAGUCGAGCGGAGCGGCGGACGGGUGAGUAAUGCCUAGGAAUCUGCCUGGUAGUGGGGGAUAACGUCCGGAAACGGGCGCUAAUACCGCAUACUCUCAGAUGAGCCUAGGUCGGAUUAGCGAGUUGGUGGGGUAAAGGCCUACCACGGCGACGAUCCGUAACUGGUCUGAGAGGUUGAUCAGUCACACUGGAACUGAGACACGGUCCAGACUCCUACGGGAGGCAGCAGUGGGGAAUAUUGGACAAUGGGCGAAAGCCUGAUGCAGCCAUGCCGCGUGUGUGAAGAAGGCCUUCGGGUUGUAAAGCACUUUCAGCGGGGAGGCGUUACCAGCAGAAGAAGCACCGGCUAACUCCGUGCCAGCAGCCGCGGUAAUAC